AUUGGGUCUGACAUCCUGAGACAUGCUUCAGACACAGCGACAACUACUCGUGCGCAGACACGAUACCCAGUGCCAGCCAGGAGCUGCAGGGUCUGCUGGAUUUAACCAGAGAUGUCUGAUUUGGGGAAGAAAUACACAACUGUGCUUCAGCGUGUCCAGAAGCCGCUGUUGUGUCAGCCCUGCUUUUUUGGGAAGCUGUUGGGCAAGAAACCGAGGCACAGAGCAGCCAGAGCUGGACACCAGUGCCUGGCUUCCCAGCAUGGAGCACGUGCUCCCUCCAGAUACGUCGCUCUCAAGCAGCCGUGGAGGUCAGGCAUGGGAGUAUAGCAGAGUAGUGUGCCGGCUCCAGGUCAGCACAAAAACCUCUGUGCUGGUGACUCACCAAAUGCUAUUUAUGCUCUCCAAGUGGAGAGAGGUUUGGGGCAGGCCCUCAUUGCGCAGGUUUGGGGGGGUUCACCCUCCUCACCUCUACUGUGUGGACCUUCUCCUGUUGUUGGGGAUGUGGCGGCAGGGAAAUCCAGUCAGACCAGAAAAACUAUUGAUAAUAGGGGAGGGAGAACAAGAUAAAGGAGCAGCCCAUGGCUUUGUUGUGCAAAAAGUACCAGGUGAUCAAAAGCACCUACCCUGCAGAGAGACCUCAUGUCCAGGUGCUGGGGCAGGGCCCUGCAGGCAAACAGCUCCUGGAAGUGCAACAGCCCCUGGUUCCCACGCCAAGGCACUGUGGUAGUCCGGGCUCCUCUGCCAUGCUGAGCAGCAGGACCCUGGGUGCUGUGGGGCUUUUCCAGCUUGGCCUGACCCAGCCCUCGGGGUGGUAAAUUCUGAAAAGACACUUGCUGAGUUGUGAGGACAUCCCAAGGCUCCCUCCAUCCUUCCCACAGCAGCCGUGCAGCAUCAGGUGGGACCAUACAGACGGACGAGGGGCCGGCACCCACCCACACUCAGAAACAGUGUCCCCUCUCCCCAGCUGUGUGCUCCGGGGACAGAGCCUGGCCUGACCCCUGGGUCAUGUGGCUUUGAGGCUCCUGUGUUUCAGCAGACCUCAGGGACUUUUUACCGUGCUAAGAUCAGUGUACAUCUGCUUUGCCUGGUGCAGAGCUGGCAAGAGAGGGGAAGGCUGUGGUUUGCAUUGUCACCUUAAUCUCUCAAAGGUGUUUCCCAGCUCUGCACCCCUCCAGGACAGAGCCUCACAGGUUGCCUCAUGCCUGGCAGAGAAGCCUUCGGACUGUGUGUUCAGCUUAUCUCAGCCCUGGUCAAUGGUCCAGGGCUGCCCAAUGGCUCUGCCAGGUGCAGACAUCUCUGCCAUGAGAGCUAGGCUGGGCCCCAGCAGCGCCGAGGGGAGCGAGCCGAUGUAAGCCACACACUGCCACCGCAUGCAAGGUCCUGACCUGCCACCUCAGCCCGUGGCUUGUCCCCACAACCUUCCUGCUUUUGCGAGGAGCAUGAGGGGAGUAAAGAUGUGUUUCCCUGAUGGGCCGCAUCCUGCCAGAUUGGUACAAAGAUGGGGCACGUCAGCUCAGUUACACUGCACAGCUGCAUCCCUGAGCCCCUUUCCCUGCCCGCAGUGUGGGGUUGUGUACAAGGCAGAAAGGCAGAUCCCAGCGCUCAGAGCUGCGGUUGCCAUGGGGUGAUGCUGAGCACAGCCCUGAGCAUCUCUGGUCCCACAGCUGAGAGCUGCCGCCGCACUGCCGUCAUGUGGGUGCCGGGGUCCCCACGUCCAAGCAUCCUCUGUGCGGUCACUUCCCUGCUCACCUCCUGACUUUGGUUGCAGUAACACCUAAAAAUCCAAGCAAAGACUGUCAGGGAGCAUCCACAGCACUGCCCAGGCAGCGUUAGUGCGGGCAGGCGCUUUGCCUGACCCCGUUCCUGCAGGGAACCUGGCGAGAGGAGGUUUGGCCGAGGCACACUCUCGCUGCUCUCCCCACCCUGUCGGGAAGGGGCUGUGCGUCAGCCUCCCGAGACAUCUGCUGACAAAUUUUUCAUUAUGCAAUGGCCUUGCCUUCACAGGCAGCCAUAUGGCCCCAUGUUCUCCAGCGGGGCUGACAGCAACGCGUUCCUAGGUCCAGACUUCGCAUUUCAGGGAAAUUUCCUAUGAGCAGAUUUUUGGCACUUUCUUAAAUGCACCUCUGACCUGUGCUGAACAAAUUGGGAUAUAUAAAUCCUCCAGGAGAUUUUUGGAGAUCUCUUUCUCCCAGCUGGACAGUUCAUCAUGGCAAAGAGCAUAAGACUUUCCUCCACCAACCUGUGGCCAACAGCCAGCUGGUGCAAAAUGUGCUUAUUUUCCUCUUGCUUUCUCUAGCCAUGUGGAUGGCUUGGGUUUUGUUUCCAAGAAGUAAUCACUGGAAUAAAAAGCCCAGGCUAAAAAUGAUA